GAUGAACGCUAGCGGCAGGCUUAACACAUGCAAGUCGAGGGGCAGCGCGAUGUAGCAAUACAUUGGCGGCGACCGGCGCACGGGUGCGUAACACGUAUGGAACUUAUCCUUUACUGGGAGAUAGCCCGGAGAAAUCCGGAUUAAUAUCCCAUAAUAAACGAAGUGGCAUCACUUUGUUUUGAAAGCUCCGGCGGUAAAGGAUGGCCAUGCGCACGAUUAGCUAGUAGGUGAGGUAACGGCUCACCUAGGCUACGAUCGUUAGGGGGCCUGAGAGGGUUAUCCCCCACACUGGUACUGAGACACGGACCAGACUCCUACGGGAGGCAGCAGUGAGGAAUAUUGCGCAAUGGAGGCAACUCUGACGCAGCCAUGCCGCGUGCAGGAAGAAGGCGCUACGCGUUGUAAACUGCUUUUAACCGGGAGAAACCCUCCGACGUGUCGGAGGUUGACGGUACCGGAGGAAUAAGCACCGGCUAACUUCGUGCCAGCAGCCGCGGUAA
rnacentral:rRNA from 1 species